rnacentral:rRNA from 1 species
CCUACGGGAGGCAGCAGUGAGGAAUAUUGGUCAAUGGGCGCAAGCCUGAACCAGCCAAGUAGCGUGAAGGAUGACUGCCCUACGGGUUGUAAACUUCUUUUAUAAGGGCGUAACAUGAGGCACGUCUGCCUUUUUAUAUGUACUUUAUGAAUAAGGCUCGGGUAACUCCGUGCCAGCAGCCGCGGUAAUACGGCGGAUCCUAUCGGUAUCCGGAUUUUUUGGGUUUAAAGGGAGCGUAGAUGGGUUAGUAAGUCAGUUGUGAAAGUUUGGGGCUCAACCGGAAAAUUGCAUGUGAUACUGGCAGUCGUGAGUACAGUUGAGGUAGGCGGAAUUCGUGGUGUAGCGGUGAAAUGCGUAGAUAUCACGAAGAACUCCGAUUGCGAAGGCAGCUUACUAAACUGCAACUGACAUUGAUGCUCGAAAGUGUGGGUAUCAAACAGGAUUAGAUACCCCUGUAGUC